rnacentral:lncRNA from 1 species
CCGAUACUGUUACUUCGUCAACUGUUACUCUUGAAGACGCAGUCUUAAUACGUUACAUCAGUUUUUUCCGAUUUUGGAGUAACAACGUUNUAGAGAAACCUACAUUCUAGCUGGAAAGACAAACAUCCUUUAAACAUCAUAUAUGAAAGUUAUUUAUAAUAAUUGAUUAGUCGGUCAAAUUCUUUAACACUUUGGUCAAAAUCAUGAAAUUGUAUUUAUUAUUGGUCAUGGCAGUUCUUGUGGGAUUAGCGGCAUCAAAAUGUAAAACAUAUGAUUUCCACUCUUACCAUGUCUGUCUCGAGCAAUGCAAUUUUCCAACAAAGAUUUUAGCGUAAAACCCGCUCGAGUAGACAUACGUAUUACACACUGGUUGGAAGGAUAGACAUCCUUUACAGCGUUAUUUAUAGCAAUAUAUUCAUUGUUAUACGCCGAACAACUCGAAUUAUUACUUGUGUAGAUCAAAUU